AAGAAUUUAAUGGUCGAACAGACCAAGAAAAAUGAAAUUUUACACCCAAAUCUUAUCUUAAUUCAACAUCGAGGUCGCAAACUUUAUCAUCGAUAAGGGCUCUCCGAAAAAAUUACGCUGUUAUCCCUAAGGUAAGUUAAUCUUAUAAUCAAAAAUUCUGGAUCAAAAAAACAUAAAUUAAUGAAAAAAAUAUUAAAAGUUAAAUAAAUUUUAAUGUCACCCCAACAAAACUUUAUAUUCUAAAAAAUAAUUUAAUAAACAAAAAACAAUAAUUAAUAAAUAAAGUAAACUUCUACAGGGUCUUCUCGUCCUAUAAAAAAAUUUUAGCUUUUUAACUAAAAAAUUAAAUUCAAAAUAAUUAAAAAAAGAAAGUAUAUUUUUCAUCGAACCAUUCAUACUAGCCUUCAAUUAAAAGACAAAUGAUUAUGCUACCUUCGUACAGUUAAAAUACCGCAGCCUUUUAAUUAAAAAAAAUCAAUGGGCAGGCCUGAUCUUAAAUUAAAAUCAAAAGACC
rnacentral:rRNA from 1 species